rnacentral:rRNA from 1 species
GAUGAACGCUGGCGGCGUGCCUAAUACAUGCAAGUCGAACGAAACUUCUUUAUCACCGAGUGCUUGCACUCACCGAUAAAGAGUUGAGUGGCGAACGGGUGAGUAACACGUGGGCAACCUGCCCAAAAGAGGGGGAUAACACUUGGAAACAGGUGCUAAUACCGCAUAACCAUAGUUACCGCAUGGUAACUAUGUAAAAGGUGGCUAUACUACCGCUUUUGGAUGGGCCCGCGGCGCAUUAGCUAGUUGGUAGGGUAAAGGCUUACCAAGGCAAUGAUGCGUAGCCGAAUUGAGAGGUUGAUCGGCCACAGUGGGACUGAGACACGGCCCAAACUCCUACGGGAGGCAGCAGUAGGGAAUCUUCCACAAUGGGCGAAAGCCUGAUGGAGCAACGCCGCGUGGGUGAAGAAGGUCUUCGGAUCGUAAAACCCUGUUGUUAGAGAAGAAAGUGCGUGAGAGUAACUGUUCACGUUUCGACGGUAUCUAACCAGAAAGCCACGGCUAACUACGUG